UACGUAGGGUGCGAGCGUUGUCCGGAAUUAUUGGGCGUAAAGGGCUCGUAGGCGGUUUGUCGCGUCGGGAGUGAAAACCCAGGUCUUAACCCUGGGCUGGCUUCCGAUACGGGCAGACUAGAGGUAUGCAGGGGAGAACGGAAUUCCUGGUGUAGCGGUGAAAUGCGCAGAUAUCAGGAGGAACACCGGUGGCGAAGGCGGUUCUCCUGGGCAUUACCUGACGCUGAGGAGCGAAAGUGUGGGGAGCGAACAGGA
rnacentral:rRNA from 1 species